AAGCUUCGACUAAGGUUCGAUUCGAGCGAAAGCGAGAAAGCGUUGCCGCAGGCAACGACCCGAAGGGCGAAGCGCGCAGCGCUGAGUAAUCCUUCCCCCGUCAUCC
rnacentral:sRNA from 1 species